AAAAGAAAAGAAAGGAAGUGAGACGGAAGGAGGGUCGAGAAGGACAAAGAGAGUGGGAGGGAGGGAGGAAGGAAGGGAAUCUUAUGUUCUAGAUUUUUAUCUACCAGGAGAUUCCAAGAUGGCAGAAUAGGGAAUGGUAUACUGCACUAGGCUAGGGAUAAAUAGAGGGAAAAAGAGUACAAGAAGUGCACUCUUCAGGGAGAAUGAGAGAGAAAACUAUACUGGAAAGUCUACAAAAGGAAAAGGAAGACCAUGGGCCUUUGUGGAAGGUGCAGAUGUGAAGAACAAACACGGACAUAAAACACAACUGCAGCAGCCAAGUGCAGGGAUUGGAUGGCAGCUUGGAGGUGGAGAGAGAAAAUAA
rnacentral:lncRNA from 1 species